AGCCAGGGCUGAGACCUACUGUCUUGCAAAGUCACCAAUCAGAGGUGGAGACUACAGAUUCAGCAAGACAUGACUUCAAGGUCUCUCCUUUCUGAUCUUGGGAUCUCACACCCUCAUCCUCUUGGCCGCCAGGAGGCUCCCCGGCUCAUCUGUGAUGAUCCUGAUGCUGUAACAUGCACAGGAGCAACUCAGAGUGACCAGGGAGUGGACUGGGACCUCCCUGCCUGCUGACCUCCAAGGACUUUCCAGGCCCACUCUGCUUGUCCUCCAGCCCCAGCCACUCCUCCAGGCCACCCUGGGGUCUCAGGGUCCUGGCCUGCCGGCUUCCCACGUGCUCCUUCCUCUCCAUAUUCCCUCUCUCUCUGUUUCUCUCUGUCUUUCUGUCUCUGUCUCCAUCUGUCCCUUUCUUUGGCUCCAGCUUUCUCUUGGAGAUCUCCUGGCCAGAGCUCCUAAGGCUGCAGAAAUCAGAAGGCUGCCCCUCAAGAGGACAGCAGCUCUGCCCUAGUAAUGAGGAGGAAGGAUAACUCUUCUCAGGAAUUAAUGAGACCACCAAGAACAAAAGAGGCGACCAGCAGAGGCCAGAGAGGCAGGGCCGCGUUAAGCCAUCCCCGCAGAAUCGCAUGCCAGCAAUAAUAGA